CGAACGUUGGCGGCGCGCUUAACACAUGCAAGUCGAGCGAGAACAGGUCCUUCGGGGCCCUAGUAAAGCGGCGCACGGGUGAGUAACACGUGGGUAAUCUAUCCUUUGGACGGGGGACAACCUCGGGAAACCGGGGCUAAUACCGCGUAAGACUUUCGUCUCUUUGGGGAUGAUAGUGAUAGAGGGCCUCUCCAUGGAAGCUCUCGACGGAGGAGGAGCUCGCGGUCCAUCAGCUUGUUGGUGGGGUAAUGGCCUACCAAGGCAUCGACGGAUAGCUGGUCUGAGAGGAUGAUCAGCCACACUGGAACUGAGACACGGUCCAGACUCCUACGGGAGGCAGCAGUGGGGAAUAUUGCGCAAUGGGGGAAACCCUGACGCAGCGACGCCGCGUGGGUGAUGAAGGCCUUCGGGUCGUAAAGCCCUGUCGGAGAGGGACGAAAAACCGGCUGGAACAAUACCCAGUCGGCCUGACGGUACCUCUCCAGAAAGCACCGGCUAACUCC
rnacentral:rRNA from 1 species